CAGGUACAGUACGUGAUAUCAAGGGCAGGUGGUCAACACUGGGGGUAGACAAGAAGCAGACGUACUUCCAAGAGGGAGCUGCAGUGAGGUCAGAGGAGGCGCUGGAAGGUUUCCCUAAUAGUUCCUGGUGAAUCAAAGCAGAACCAUAAAGGUUGCUGGACUGCAUGAUGGCCUUACCCCUGAGCCGUCAUCCUGUUAAAGGAUGAACCAGUUAGAAGCUGUUUUCAAAGUAGCUGAGCAGAUUUCAUCUCAACAGACAAAGCCGAUUGCAGAAGAUGUCAGAGAAGAACUUCAGGCCGUGGACUGAAAAG
ensembl:lncRNA